UAGGCCCCAUUCUUACACUGGGGAUCAGAUUUCAACAUGAAGUUUGGAGGUGGUCAAACAAACCAAAUGAUAACAGAAAUACUCUGUCAAAGUCAGAGUUGACAAAAAUAAAAUGGACUAUAUUGUGAUUAGUUGUUGUUUGGGUACUAAGCUGGAGAAAAUUUCAGUUAAUUAACAGGUUGUAGUGUUUUGUGGCUUUGUUUCUUUUCUAUUCAUUACAACUCGUUUACCUGGUAGUUUUUGACUGAUAUGCUCAACUUGACUAAUUAUUUUUGAAACUGUGAAGAUGCAUCACAGUCAAUAUAAAUAUGUUCACUAUAAUGUAAGUCCUCUUUUCAUAGUAAAAUUGAUGUAAGAUGGCAUAGUCAUUCUUCAUUCAGUACAGUUUGCUUGAAGAUAUCUCUAUUAACAAGAGCAUUUUACCUUCGCCUAGAUUUCAGAUGCUUUGGUAAUUUGUACUGUGCUUAAAUAAAGCACAUCCUGGCAUGAAAAUGAAUGAGUGCCUCCUGGCACUUAGUGCGUGUAUUCCUCAGAGUUUAUGAUAAUUAGGAUGCUUGUUUAAUUGCUGUCCCUUUAUUUCCACUGGGUGGUGGGAGCUAAAGAGCAGCUUUCAAACCAUGUGUGUUACAUACAUAGGUAAUUUAUAAACUCAUUUUGCUGUUGUGAGCACAGGAAAAAAAAUCCUGAAUGUCAAUAAGCCAAUGUUGUAAUUAUUUUAUCCCCACCAUGACUGCUGAUGGUACCUUUGUUUUCGCUUCUUGGACAGGAAGGAUGGGCCUUUGAGUUACUACCCGUAAGGAUUGAGUCAUUUGAGCCAUGGUCAUUGAGCACUGGUCUGAAUUUGUUGCUCAAUUGAAUGCUAAAGGAUUAUAGAGUAUCUUCCCAGUAUGAAUAUUCUGAUGUGAACUCCAGCUGCAGUCUUUUCCACUUUGACUUUAGGAUUGGUAUACUCUCAAUAGGGGACCUCUAAUGUUGACUGAGAAAUAAGUGAUUAUUAAAGACAUCUCUUCAUUCUGUACAUCAGAUGUUU
rnacentral:lncRNA from 1 species